rnacentral:sRNA from 1 species
GCUGGGCGCAGUGGUGCACACCUGUAAUCCCAGUGGCUUGGAAGGCUGAAGCAGGAGGAUCACGAGUUCAAAGCCAGACUCAGCAAAAGCAAGACGCUAAGCAACUCAGCGAGACCCUGUUUCUA